rnacentral:lncRNA from 1 species
CGGACCUUGGGAAAGCCAUUUAACUUCGUCAUUAACGACAUUCCCACUCCAAACCUAUUGAAUCAAAAGUAAAUUGAGUAAUUGUAAAUGUUAUGAGAAAACAUUAUUAUUUGUCAAUAAAAUGUUGAGUUGCAUACCGUUUGGCUUAACCAUUCAUGAAAAGAUUCUGUGAAUAACCUAUUAAUCUCGCGAUGUUGUAAUCUUCGUGAGCG